rnacentral:rRNA from 1 species
UACGAAGGGGGCUAGCGUUGUUCGGAAUUACUGGGCGUAAAGCGCACGUAGGCGGAUAUUUAAGUCAGGGGUGAAAUCCCAGAGCUCAACUCUGGAACUGCCUUUGAUACUGGGUAUCUUGAGUAUGGAAGAGGUAAGUGGAAUUGCGAGUGUAGAGGUGAAAUUCGUAGAUAUUCGCAGGAACACCAGUGGCGAAGGCGGCUUACUGGUCCAUAACUGACGCUGAGGUGGCGAAAGCGU